GUUGUAGUUAUUUUAGUAAGUGACCAACCAAAUUGUGAUUUGACUUAUAAUAAAGCUGAAAAAGUUGUGAGUUUAUGCUUUCUUCUCGUUAAUAAGAAUUAAGCUCUGUAUCACCUAGAUUUCUCUUGUCCUAACAUGGGUAUUCAAAAACAGACAUCUGUAGUGUAUGUAUGGAAUGGCACACCCCUUGUUUACCUGUUAUUGGAAACUAGAGAAGUGAUUGUUGGGCAACGCUUUAUCGUUACAUUGUGUUUAAUUUGAUGAAGAUUCUGUGUAGAAACAGUCUUUCACGUGUCAUGUUUUCAGCCACUAACUGCCAUCACCCACUGGGGUCCUUUGUUAAGUCAUCUUCCAUGGCUAAUAGGGAUAAUCCAGGUAACUUUUCAGAGAUGAGCAGUGAACAGGAAGCUUUCCUGCCUUUGGCUUUUGACAGCCCUUCCUUAAUAUUUAAGAACAGCUUUCCCAUAAAUUUAGCCUUUUGAAAAGAAGAGAGCAUCUGUAGUGAACUUCUCUGUAAGGCAAUAUCAGUGGAAUCUUAAAUGUUGUUAUCAGGGUUGGUGAGAGACGGAAGCAUUUUUGUUUUUAUUAAACAGAGCAUUAUUUACAAAGAGCCAUUGUUGAGAAUUAGAUUCCACACCG
rnacentral:lncRNA from 1 species